AGAAGAUAUAACCCUGAAUCAUGUAUUGGAGGAACAUUAUUUUGAGUGAUUAACAGCACAUAUAGACAGUUUAUUCAUUUAGGAUGGCAUAGGUAUCCAGUUUAAUUCUCUGGUCUUCUUUUUGGUUGUUUUUUUUUUUGUUUAAGUUGGUCCUUGACCAGUUAUUUUAGAUUGUUGAAACUCUGGUCAAAGUAAAGUAUUUCCUUUAUUUCCCCUCUUUAGAUUUGGGACAUGAGCGAUGAUGAAGUCAUCUGAAAAUGAAUAAAUGAAAACAGAAAAAGUUACCAAGAUCCUCUGCCGCAUCCUUUAUAACAGGAAACACCAACCAGUCCAGAUCCUCGUUAACCUUCCAAAACCAAAUAUAUAUUUUUUUAUUACUACAAAAUAAUUGUUGCAAUAACUUGUGUGUGUGCAUGGUUUCAUUUUCCAGAUGAUAUACUGCUUUCUCAGUAAUUCCAUGGGGACUUAUGACCAUCAUCUCAAGCUCAUCAUUACAAACCUUAUGGAUGUAUGAACUGUCCUUGUCAUUUAGAGUUAGCUCGGCUCUAGAAUAAGAAAGACAUUUCAUGCUGGCAUGAGGUCUGUAAGAACCUAAUUGUAAUAAUAGCAUUCAGUGAUUUUGGUGCUUGAGGGCAUUCAAAUCGUAAAUGAUAUCUUUAUGAGAAUAUGAUUAUUCUGCAUAAACUGAUUUCCUUAUAUGGAAAUGAAUACUAUAAUUAUAUAUGAAAUGAAAAGAAAUCUUGUUAUAUGUUUAGAUUUGGACAUUAAACACAUGUUUACCUGGGCUGGGACCACACUAGCCUAUAAUUGAAUAUUAAUGUUUAAAUAAAUAUCUGUCUAUCUAAUAUAAUAUAAUCUAUCAUAUCUAUCUAUCUUAGACAUUUAUUUAUCUUGACCCAGAGAGAUAAGCAGUGUUGCAUCUCAGAUAUAUAUUGAUGCUAUAAUCAAAAUGAUAUGGCCUGAGAUUGAAAAAUGUUGAUUGACAAGUGGCACACGAUAGUCUUUAUAAAGCAUUGUAGUAUGUAAGAAUUGUUAUUACAGAGACACAUAUCCCUGCAAUACGUUUUAUUUAUAUAAAUAUCCUUUUUCAUUACUUAAAUGACCUAUGCAUAUUCCAGACACCAAAGGUAUAAGAAGUCUGUCUUACUUUGUUUGUAUAGUACAUAGAUGCUUGGUGUUUGCAAAAAGCUCUUGCACAUGGACUCUCAGGAAGUAAUGAGACACCUAGUAGGAUAUAUAUACAGGGAACUAUGGAAAAUUGACAGGUGAGUUGCAAAUAUAGCUCAGCUGGAAAAAUAGCUCAAAUUUAAGAAGUUUCAUCUCAUGUCAAUUUGCAAAUUAGUCAGAAUUAAAGUAGCAAUGAUAUCGCAUUUACAAAUAAAUGAAUAACUGGUCGUGCUGGCUUUCACUCCCUUAUAUUUAUUUAUAUUUAGGAAUAAGAAAUCACACAUAUCUUUAUUGCUCAUAAAGUCUUCUGCAAGUGUCCAUAAAGCCCCUGGAACAUUAUCUAUUCCAUAGGAAGCCUGUGGAGGGUUAGGAGCUGAGAUUUCUAAGCCAUUUUCUGGUUCACGAGGACUCCAGUCAAGAAGUAUCAGAAAGAGGGUGUUUGCUGCUAAAGAGUAAAUUUCGUUGUCCAAAUAAUCUAUUAUCUUUAGUUACACAUUGGGCUAGGCCUUUGCAUUUAUAACAGUUGCAGCCAUGAGAUAUACAGUACAGUGAAGGUUUACCUCUCUUACGUUGAGUGCUCCCAGCUAGCAUUAUUAACAGGCCCUUCCAUAUAUAUAUAUAUAUAUAUAUAUAUAUUUAUUUUUUUUAAAUUCGAUGAAUCCUAUUUAAGCAUAUGGAUGCCAGCAUAUGGAUGCCAAGCUCCCCCCCACCCAUUUUAACACUGUUUACAUUGCAGUGUUUAAAUGCCUCUUGUGGCUGUCAUUCAGAAAUAAAAGGAGCAAAACUGUAAUUUCAAUCAGAUGGUCUCAUAGACCCCAUCAGAUUGGCGCAGUUUGGCUUUUUGCUGUGGUUUCAGCCAAGGGGGCAGGAUGACAGCAUUGAGACCAGUGCUUUGGGGGAGAAAAGAGAAGUAACCCUGCUUUUUUUCCCCUCCAUACAGUUGGGGGACGGGGUCCUAAAUAGCCAACAGGGCACUAUAGUAUUAAGAAUACACAUUUGUAAUUCUAACGCUGUAGUGUUACUUUAAAUGUACUUUAUCGUGUCAAUGUCACUUUGUAAGGAAAUACUAAAUAUAUCUUUGUGAAUGGCCCCCUCUUUAACCAUAGAAAACAAUUUAGCUGUAUGUAUAUGUGUUCCAUACAUAGCAGGGUUAUAUAACCCCCACGCCCCCCAUGCCUGACGACCAACAUGACACACACUCAUAGUUAUAUUUGGUGCACUACCCAGCUACAGUUGUAAAUCUUUUAGGGCUUCUGUUUGUUUAAUUCAUUUCCUUUCUUUUCUCAAUCUUUUGAUUUAAGUUUCAUGGUCACAUAGUCCUUAAUAAAUUGGGGCAUAGUAUGGUAUAUUAAUCUGGAAUUAAGGAAGAUCCACAAAAGUCCUUUGCAAAGUACAAUAUUUUUUAAAUAAGAUUAACUGUCUCUUUGAACCAUGCCAACUGCACAUAAAACUAUUAUUUUUGUUAGAUUAUUUGAACAUCAACUGGAAAUGCAGCCAGGUAUUUUAAUCACAAUAUUUGGCUUAAUUAGUUGUAUUCACCUUUCCAUACAUGAAAAAUACAAUUUAAUGUAAAAUAAAACCAUCCUAAAUUUGACAAAGAUGUAACGCUUAACAGUUGUCUAACCCAUGUUUGUAUUUUGUUGUCAUUGUAUGCAAUAAAAUAUUUAAGUUUAACAUU
rnacentral:lncRNA from 1 species